GACGAACGCUGGCGGCGUGCUUAACACAUGCAAGUCGAACGGGCCUUGUCCCCUUUUUUUUGUGGGUGGGGUGAGUGGGGAGGGGGUGAGUAACACGGGAGUAACCUGCCCCUCACUUGGGUAUAACCGCUAGAAAGGGGGGCAAAUACGGGGUGUUCUGGCCUGCUCGCGUGGGUGGGUGUGGAAAGAUUCUGCCGGUUUUUGUUGGUGUGGUGGGGGAUGGGCUCGCGGCAGGUGAGGUUGUGGGUUGGGUGAUGGCCCGACAAUGCCUUGACGGGGAGCCGGCCUGAGGGGGUGGGCGGUCACAGUGGGACUGACACACGGCACAGUCUCAUAGGGGAGGCAGCAGGGGGGAAUACUGCACAAUGGGCGAAAGCCUGAUGGAGCGACGCCGCGUGAGGGAUGGAGGUCUUCGUGUUGUGAACCUCUUUUGCCAGUGAAGAAGGUGCUGCUGUUUGUGGUGGGGUUGACGGUAGCCGGGUUCAUGAAGCGCCGGCUAACUACGUG
rnacentral:rRNA from 1 species